rnacentral:rRNA from 1 species
AUUGAACGCUGGCGGCAGGCCUAACACAUGCAAGUCGAGCGAGCGGCGGACGGGUGCGUAAUGUAUGGGGACUGCCCGAUCGAGGGGGAUAACUACUGGAAACGGUGGCUAAUACCGCAUACUAUCGGAUAACCCAUAUGGGAUUAGCUAGUAGGUUGGGUAACGGCUCACCUAGGCGACGCUCUCUAGCUGUGCUGCGAGGAUGAUCAGCCACACUGUGACGUAGAAACGGCCCAGACUCCUACGGAGGCAGCAGUGGGGAAGAUUGCACAAUGGGCGAAAGCCGGAUGCAGCCAUGCCGCGUGUAUGAAGAAGGCCUUAGGGUUGUAAAGUACUUUCAGCGGGGAGGCGUUACCCGCAGAAGAAGCACCGGCUAACUCCGUGCCAGCAGCCGCGGUAAUUC